rnacentral:rRNA from 1 species
AUUGAACGCUGGCGGCAGGCUUAACACAUGCAAGUCGAGCGGAGAUGAGGUGCUUGCACCUUAUCUUAGCGGCGGACGGGUGAGUAAUGCUUAGGAAUCUGCCUAUUAGUGGGGGACAACAUUCCGAAAGGAAUGCUAAUACCGCAUACGCCCUACGGGGGAAAGCAGGGGAUCUUCGGACCUUGCGCUAAUAGAUGAGCCUAAGUCGGAUUAGCUAGUUGGUGGGGUAAAGGCCUACCAAGGCGACGAUCUGUAGCGGGUCUGAGAGGAUGAUCCGCCACACUGGGACUGAGACACGGCCCAGACUCCUACGGGAGGUAGCAGUGGGGAAUAUUGGACAAUGGGCGGAAGCCUGAUCCAGCCAUGCCGCGUGUGUGAAGAAGGCCUUUUGGUUGCAAAGCACUUUAAGCGAGGAGGAGGCUACCUGGAUUAAUACUCUAGGAUAGUGGACGUUACUCGCAGAAUAAGCACCGGCUAACUCUGUGCCAGCAGCCGCGGUAAAAC